AUCGUGGAAAUGCUAGGGCUGCGUAAAUCGUAUACAAUAAUCCCGUUACUAUGACAAACGAUGUUCCUGCUGCCAGAAGAUUUUGCACCCCAAAACAAUUGUUGAUUUCUUGGGACAGCUUGCAGAGUUCCAAAUGAACUUUUCUGGUUGAAUAACAAUACAGACCUUGUAUUUUCAAUCCGCAGGACUAGCGAGCUUGAGGUUCUAGACUUAAUGAUAUCAGCUCAUUGGAGAUUAUCUACCUGCAUUUUACCAAAGCUCCCCAGUACCGGAAGUAGCGUUUAUCAUUCAUCAAAUUUUCUACAUCCCAUAUUGGAGAUUCCAAUGCUGCAACAUUGCUAGAUAUGUCGAUCUGCUCAUUCCCUCUGGGAUAAAAACAAGUUGUUGACUCUGUUAGUCGCAACAAACCAACAUUCAAAUCUCGCAAUUUUUCUCCAACAUAUCUAAGCAACGAAACACGAAAAUCAAUCAAACAGCAUGACCGUUAUAUUUGGUAGUUAUGAGAUAAUGGUUUUAAAUAGGUAACAUACCCUAGCAGAGUCCAAAAGUUCAAGUUCAAUAUGAUGAUAACAGAUAUCGGUUGGAACAUGGUUUUUAUAAUGAUGGAAUUACUCACUGAAAUUCCAUCCUCAAGGAGCAUAUUGCCGUUCACAAGGCCUACACAAAAUGUAAUAAGCUUGAUCCCUGCAAUUUGGAAACACAAACGGACAAAGCGUCGCCGAUGUUCUUUCUGAACUUCAACUCCAAAGAUCAUCUUAAAUUUCUCAUCCAAUAUUAGUAUCAGCUAUGUUCAAUGAGGACACAAACAUCCCAUCACGCGCAGCCUCUAUCAAGUCCCGACUGCCAAUGUAAGUCGACACCACAUUUCCAAAGUUCACCGAAAUUGUAAAGAAAAUUGCUAACGAAUGUAAC